GACGAACGCUGGCGGCGUGCUUAACACAUGCAAGUCGAACGGAAAGGCCCUGCUUUUGUGGGGUUCUCGAGUGGGGAACGGGGGAGUAACACGUAAGUAACCUGCCCUUCACUUUGGGAUAACUUCAGGAAACUGGGCCUAAUCCCGGAUAGGAGCUCCUGCUCCAGGGUGGGGGUUGGAAAGUUUCGGCGGUUGGGGAUGGACUCGCGGCUUAUCAGCUUGUUGGUGGGCUGGUGGCUGACCAAGGCUUUGACGGGUAGCCGGCCUGGGAGGGUGCACGGCCACAUUGGGCCUACGGUACGGCCCAGACUCGUACGGGAGGCAGCAGUGGGGAGUAUUGCACAAUGGGCGGACGCGUGAUGCAGAAACGCCGCGUGCGGGAUGACGGCUUUCGGGUUGUAAACCGCUUUCGCUUGUGACGAAGCGUGAGUGACGGUAAUGGGUAAAGAAGCACCGGCUAACUACGU
rnacentral:rRNA from 1 species